CAGCAGCCCGCGGUAAUACGGAGGGUGCGAGCGUUAAUCGGAAUGACUGGGCGUAAAGGGCAUGUAGGUGGGUCAUUAAGUAGGUGUGAAAUCCCCGGGCUCAACCUGGGAACAGCACUUAAAACUGGUGGUCUAGAGUAUUGUAGAGGAAGGUAGAAUUCCAUGUGUAGCGGUGAAAUGCGUAGAGAUGUGGAGGAAUACCGGUGGCGAAGGCGGCCUUCUGGACAAAUACUGACGCUGAGAUGCGAAAGCGUGGGGAGCAAACAGGAUUAGAUACCCUGGUAGUCCACGCUGUAAACGAUGUCGAUUUGGAGUUUGGUGGCAUGACUGCUGGGCUCCGAAGCUAACGCGUUAAAUCGACCGCCUGGGGAGUACGGCCGCAAGGUUAAAACUCAAAUGAAUUGACGGGGGCCCGCACAAGCGGUGGAGCAUGUGGUUUAAUUCGAUGCAACGCGAAGAACCUUACCUGGUCUUGACAUCCACAGAAUUUUGUAGAGAUACGAAAGUGCCUUAGGGAGCUGUGAGACAGGUGCUGCAUGGCUGUCGUCAGCUCGUGUUGUGAAAUGUUGGGUUAAGUCCCGCAACGAGCGCAACCCUUAUCCUUUGUUGCCAUCGGUUAGGCCGGGAACUCAAAGGAGACUGCCGUUGAUAAAGCGGAGGAAGGUGGGGACGACGUCAAGUCAUCAUGGCCCUUACGACCAGGGCUACACACGUGCUACAAUGGCGCAUACAAAGAGAAGCAAACCAGCGAUGGCAAGCGGACCUCAUAAAGUGCGUCUAAGUUCGGAUUGGAGUCUGCAACUCGACUCCAUGAAGUCGGAAUCGCUAGUAAUCGUGAAUCAGAAUGUCACGGUGAAUACGUUCCCGGGCCUUGUACACACCGCCCGUCACAACCAUGGGAGUGGGUUGCACCAGAAGUAGAUAGCUUAAC
rnacentral:rRNA from 1 species